GCUCAUGGUCAUAGCACCCUAAGCAUUCUCAUCUGAUCUGGGAAACUAAGCAGGAUUGGGCCCGGUUAGUUGGGAGACCACAUGUAAAAAUGAGGAACUCUAUGUU
ensembl:rRNA 5S_rRNA 5S ribosomal RNA